UGUCGUGCUAACUAGACAUAGGCAACUCUUUAAUCCCGUUUGACCCAUAACUCAAUUCUCAAUCAAGUUAGCUUAUAUAUUCAAUCAAGUCAAGUACUUCCAGAUUACACAUAUAAACAUAGGCCAAUUCCUUCCUACUUUGUCUGACUUGUGUACAAAACUCCAUAGGUUCAAACACUAAGCCGGUAGCACAGGCACCAAUUCCUGCACUAAUCGAGAUACCAUUUAGCAAUGGUUCCUAACGUCCAGAUAGAUCGAAUUAUUGUAAAAAAAUAUUUCAGAACCCAUACUCAUGGUUACCGCAUAAUUUAUCCUUUUGACCCUGGAUGCUCUAAGAUGGUCUCAAGUUAACUGUCAACCAAGAUUAUUUCAUCCACAUUAUAUUUCAACCUUUCAAAUUCAUUUCAUGAAUUACCCUGGCUAAGACUUUACUAAAUUGAAAUACAGCGAUACAGCAACUUCAAUAAUCCGGAGGGGUCAAUCCCAUCUUGAUCCACACACAGAUUUCGUAAGUACUUGACUGUACCCAGUAGCCUUCCGUCACUGCAUUAAAAAUCCAAAUAGCUCGACACCAAAGCACAGUGAGUUGCUUGUAAGUCACUAUGGUGAUCUCAAAUCUGAAGGAUAUUUAUAUCCAUGUGUUUCGCAAGCAGCUCUUGACAACAAAAUGCUCAACAGGUGAGUCACUUGUUCAGUGACGAUGUACCCUUACACCUCACUUGCAUGCCAUACCAGUGUCACCACAC
rnacentral:lncRNA from 1 species